CAUUACACAAAUAUGAAGGCGGGCUGGAACCUCUCGGGGUUACAGCCUUGCUGAAUUAUUCACCCUUGUCUUUUGCGUACUUCUUGUUUCCUUGGUGGGUUCGCCCACCACUAGGACAAACAUAAACCUUUUGUAAUUGCAAUCAGCGUCAGUAACAAAUUAAUAAUUACAACUUUCAACAACGGAUCUCUUGGUUCUGGCAUCGAUGAAGAACGCAGCGAAAUGCGAUAAGUAGUGUGAAUUGCAGAAUUCAGUGAAUCAUCGAAUCUUUGAACGCACAUUGCGCCCUUUGGUAUUCCAAAGGGCAUGCCUGUUCGAGCGUCAUUUGUACCCUCAAGCUUUGCUUGGUGUUGGGCGUCUUGUCUCUAGCUUUGCUGGAGACUCGCCUUAAAGUAAUUGGCAGCCGGCCUACUGGUUUCGGAGCGCAGCACAAGUCGCACUCUCUAUCAGCAAAGGUCUAGCAUCCAUUAAGCCUUUUUUUCAACUUUUGACCUCGGAUCAGGUAGGGAUACCCGCUGAACUUAAGCAUAUCAAUAAGCGGAGGAAAAGAAACCAACAGGGAUUGCCCUAGUAACGGCGAGUGAAGCGGCAACAGCUCAAUUUGAAAUCUGGCUCUUUUAGAGUCCGAGUUGUAAUUUGCAGAGGGCGCUUUGGCUUUGGCAGCGGUCCAAGUUCCUUGGAACAGGACGUCACAGAGGGUGAGAAUCCCGUACGUGGUCGCUGG
rnacentral:rRNA from 1 species